AUGGCCGACAUCGAGGAUCCCGACGGCGGCGUGGUGGAGGCGGAGCCCACCGAGUGUUGCAGGUGCAUGUUCAUAGCCACGAUGGGCUUCUCCUUCCUCACGCUUAUCGUCUUCUUUGUGUUCACGGGGGACAUCUACGAUUCCCAUCCAACGUCAAAAGCUCUGGAUGUGACCGUGCAGCUCGUGGGCUUCCUCGCACUCCUCGCUGCUUUCUGGUUUGGCGCCGUCUUCAUGAUCCUUGUGAUCGAGUGGUAUGCCGGCAAUCCGGCGGGGCAAAGGGUUGCAGAUAGCUUGAUCCAGUCGGAC
rnacentral:rRNA from 1 species